AUCUCACUGGAGAUCCCUGCCUCUCUGAGGCCUUCCAAGGCAUAACUCAGCUACUGCUCCUGUGUGCAUCUCUCAGGACCUCAAUACUCCACCUUCCCUCAGCUGAAGUAGAAUUGGUGACCUUAGCAGUGAAGCUGACAGUUUUUGCUCCAGCUCUGGUACUGAUUCAGGCUUGUUGCCUGUCUACCAUGCCCGUGGUGCACACCUAUUAGAAAUACAUCACUUGCUGGCAUCAAAACAGAAAGGGAAAAGUUUACUCUUCUCCCCACCUUAAUCAAGUGCUUUGUGCUUCUGAAUUUGAUCUGAUCUUACAGAUGGUUCUGCAGCUCGUUCACAGGUAAAGCCAUACAGCUUGCAGACUUCCAGGCUGAAAGGUGUGCAAAACCACAGAUCUCUGCUAUUUAAGCUGCAGACCCGGGUUUUCCUGAGUGCUCUCUCAUUGCUGGAUGCACAGCUUUAUUACAGCUGCUCUCCAGGGAUGUGUGGAUAUAUUCCUGAAGUGUGAAGACUGUGGCUCUGAGAAUUCAUGGGCCACGCAGGCUUCUAAUGGUGACUUUCUAUUUUAACGCUCAUCUCUUCCUUUCCUCUACAUACCAUCUGUUCACACUCCUUCUCCCUUACAUCCAUACUGAGGAAAAACUUGAAGUAUGAUCUAUUGGCCACAGAAGACCACACCUAUAAAACAUCCAGGCUCGUUUUCUGUUCAUCUGUUGUUGUUCCAUACAGUCAGUUUUGUCUUCACGUUGCUUAGAUUGGCCUGUUUAAAUUGUAACGUCCUGGGGGGCAAAGGCUGCACUGUGUUUGCACAGAGCCUGGAUCUUGGUUAGGGGCUGUGGGCACUGCUGUGGGACUAAGGAUGAACCCAGAGAGGCUGUAAGGCUAUCUCAGGCUGUGAGGCUAUGUAAGGCUAGCUAUGUCAUAAGGCUGUAAAGAAAAGCCGUCAGUGAGUAUUGCAUGUCAUGGUGGAAGAGUGAACGCAAGGAAAAAAUGUACCUCUGUGGAUGGCACAGCUGAGCUGCGCUGUGUUGUAGUGCACUGAUGUCACGCUGAGGGUGAUAAACUGUUGAGAUAAAAUAAAAUGAAACCCCUGUCAUAGGCAGUGUUAGGAAACACGUUGCUAAAGGUGCAUUAAACUUUGAUGGCUCUAUUUAUAC
ensembl:lncRNA